rnacentral:rRNA from 1 species
CCUACGGGUGGCAGCAGUCGAGAAUCAUUCACAAUGGGGGAAACCCUGAUGGUGCGACGCCGCGUGGGGGAAUGAAGGUCUUCGGAUUGUAAACCCCUUUCAUGUGGGAGCAAAUUAAAAAGAUAGUACCACAAGAGGAAGAGACGGCUAACUCUGUGCCAGCAGCCGCGGGAAUACAGAGGUCUCAAGCGUUGUUCGGAAUCACUGGGCGUAAAGCGUGCGUAGGCUGUUUCGUAAGUCGUGUGUGAAAGGCGCGGGCUCAACCCGCGGACGGCACAUGAUACUGCGAGACUAGAGUAAUGGAGGGGGAAGCGGAAGUCUCGGUGUAGCAGUGAAAUGCGUAGAUAUCGAGAGGAACACUCGUGGCGAAGGCGGGUUCCUGGACAUUAACUGACGCUGAGGCACGAAGGCCAGGGGAGCGAAAGGGAUUAGAUACCCCAGUAGUC